rnacentral:rRNA from 1 species
UACGGGGGGGGUAAGCGUUGUUCGGAAUUACUGGGCGUAAAGGGUUUGUAGGUGGCUUGCUAAGUCAGACGUGAAAUCCCUCAGCUUAACUGAGGAACUGCGUCUGAGACUGGCGAGCUUGAGCGCAGGAGAGGAACGCGGAAUUCCAGGUGUAGCGGUGAAAUGCGUAGAUAUCUGGGGGAACACCGGUGGCGAAGGCGGCGUUCUGGACUGCAACUGACACUGUAAAACGAAAGCCAGGGGAGCAAACGGG